CCUACGGGAGGCAGCAGUGAGGAAUAUUGGUCAAUGGGCGCGAGCCUGAACCAGCCAAGCAGCGUGAAGGAUGACUGCCCUACGGGUUGUAAACUUCUUUUAUAAGGGGAUAAAGUGAGACACGCGUGCCUUUUUGUAUGUACUUUAUGAAUAAGGAUCGGCUAACUCCGUGCCAGCAGCCGCGGUAAUACGGAGGAUCCGAGCGUUAUCCGGAUUUAUUGGGUUUAAAGGGAGCGUAGAUGGGUUGUUAAGUCAGUUGUGAAAUCUUGCGGCUCAACCGUAAAAUUGCAAUUGAUACUGGCAGGCUUGAGUAUAGUUGAGGUAGGCGGAAUGCGUGGUGUAGCGGUGAAAUGCUUAGAUAUCACGAAGAACACCGAUUGCGAAGGCAGCCUACUAAACUGCCACUGACAUUGAUGCUCGAAAGUGUGGGGAUCAAACAGGAUUAGAUACCCUUGUAGUC
rnacentral:rRNA from 1 species